CUGCUGCCUCCCGUAGGAGUCUGGUCCGUGUCUCAGUACCAGUGUGGGGGACCUUCCUCUCAGAACCCCUACGCAUCGUCGCCACGGUGGGCCGUUACCCCGCCGUCUAGCUAAUGCGCCGCAUGCCCAUCCUCUUCCGAUGAAUCUUUCCUCGAUCUCGGAUGCCCGAAACCGAUAUACGCGGGAUUAGCCUCCCUUUCGGAAGGUUGUCCCCCCUGAAGAGGGCAGGUUGCAUACGUGUUACUCACCCGUGCGCCGGUCGCCGG
rnacentral:rRNA from 1 species